GUGAUGAGUGGUCAGCGUGGAGUGUGUGUUCUGCCACUUGUGGGGAGGGCUGGCAGAGUCGCACUCGUUUCUGCGUGUACUCCUCUUACAGCACCCAGUGUAGUGGGCCACUGCGAGAGCAGAGACCUUGCAACAACUCUGCUGUGUGUCCAGUGAACGGUGCUUGGGACGAAUGGUCACCAUGGAGUUUAUGUUCGUCAACCUGUGGCCGAGGGUACAGGUCUCGAACACGGAGCUGUGCGCCCCCUCAGUUCGGGGGAAAUCCCUGUGACGGCCCAGAGAAGCAGACCAAAUUCUGCAACAUAGCUGUCUGUCCAGUGGAUGGAUUGUGGAAUGAGUGGUCCAACUGGAGCUCCUGCUCCGCCUCCUGCUCAAAUGGGACCACGCAGAGAACCAGGGAAUGUAACGGCCCUUCGUUCGGGGGCUCGGAGUGCAGAGGAGAGUGGCUGGAGACUGUCGACUGCUUCCUUGGGGAGUGUCCGGUGGAUGGCAAGUGGCAGCCAUGGUCUUUGUGGUCGGGCUGUUCUAAAACCUGUGGAGGGGGGAGCCAGCAGAGAAACAGGAUUUGUUAUGGGCCCUUUUUCGAGGGGCAGACUUGUCCUG